AUGAACGCUGGCGGCGUGCUUCACACCUGCAAGUCGAACGAAGCACUUUAUUUGAUUUCCUUCGGGACUGAUUAUUUUGUGACUGAGUGGCGGACGGGUGAGUAACGCGUGGGUAACCUGCCUUGUACAGGGGGAUAACAGUUGGAAACGGCUGCUAAUACCGCAUAAGCGCACGGCAUCGCAUGAUGCAGUGUGAAAAACUCCGGUGGUAUAAGAUGGACCCGCGUUGGAUUAGCUAGUUGGUGAGGUAACGGCCCACCAAGGCGACGAUCCAUAGCCGACCUGAGAGGGUGACCGGCCACAUUGGGACUGAGACACGGCCCAAACUCCUACGGGAGGCAGCAGUGGGGAAUAUUGCACAAUGGGCGAAAGCCUGAUGCAGCGACGCCGCGUGAGCGAAGAAGUAUUUCGGUAUGUAAAGCUCUAUCAGCAGGGAAGAUAAUGACGGUACCUGACGAAGAAGCACCGGCUAAAUACGUG
rnacentral:rRNA from 1 species